AAUAAGUGCAGUUUUGCACUAUUCAUGUUCGACGUUUGACCGUCCGUCUUAUUUGAAAAUUUUUUAUGAUUAGUAUUUUUAUUGCUAUUAGAUGAUAAAACAUGAAUAGUACUUUAUGUGUGACUAAAUGUUUUUAAUUUUUUCACAAAUUUUUCAAAUAAGACGGACGGUCAAACGUUGAACAUGAAUAGUGCAAAACUGCACUUAUU
rfam:Oryza rufipogon genomic scaffold, chr03